GGUGUGGCAUAAUGGUUUGAGUGUCGGACUAUGACUCUGGAGAUCAGGGUUCAGUUCCCAGCUUGGCCA